rnacentral:misc_RNA from 1 species
GAAAUGCGAUACGUAGUGUGAAUUGCAGAAUUCAGUGAAUCAUCGAAUCUUUGAACGCACAUUGCGCCCUUUGGUAUUCCAAAGGGCAUGCCUGUUCGAGCGUCAUUUGUACCCUCAAGCUUUGCUUGGUGUUGGGCGUUUUUUGUCUUUGGCUCGCCCAAAGACUCGCCUUAAAACGAUUGACAGCCGGCCUACUGGUUUCGCAGCGCAGCACAUUUUUGCGCUUGCAAUCAGCAAAAGAGGACGGCAAUCCAUCAAGACUCCUUCUCACGUUUGACCUCGGAUCAGGUAGGGAUACCCGCUGAACUUAAGC